CAAUGAUUAGUUAGUCUCCUGACCCAGAAUACCCUACAAAAUCAGGCAAAACAGAAGGCUCAAAUCCUCCUAGUCACUUUAAGAACACUCAGGAAACCGUUCUGGCCAUCAAGAACACCCGUGUCUAAAAAGCCAUCAAGUAUCUGAAAGAUGGCACUUUAAAAACCCUUCUUUCUGACAGUAGAAUAGAGUUGGUGUUCCCUAGGCUAACUAGUAGGGCUGGACAGAGAGUUGGUGGCCCUAAAAGAGUGCAGAAUUUCAGAGUAAUCUUAACUUAAGGACUUAGGUAUACAUGCUCGAGCCAUUGAACAUCUCUCCGGUGAACACAACACUCAAGAUGCGCAAUUGAAUUCAUAGAGCACAGCAUCAGAUCAACCUAUACACAGACCCCGCACCCCCUGCCAUAUUGGGACAAUCCUCACUGACACAGGAAGUGUUCCUAAGCAAGAAAAAGAGGAUGCUCGGGGGUAAAAAGAAAUCCCAUAUCAAGUGGUCAACCCUGAUAACA
rnacentral:lncRNA from 1 species